CGACUUUGUUUGGUCACUUCUGGAAGCUGCUGCCAUGCACAGAGAGAGCCAUGGAGAACUUUGCUGGUGGAAGACGUGUCCUUGCUUGUUGCUGGUGGGUCACGGCAGCCAAUGCAGGAACACAUUCCAUUUACCAGGAGCUGCGCUGCCUCUCUCGGUGCACAGAAAAGAUCGUGGGUGGAGGCUGUGCUCUGCUUGCCAUGGGGUCCCUGGCUGCUCUUAGGGGAGCAGCUCCAGGUGCUGCCAGUCACCUCAGCAGCAAAAAGGAAAAAGGGGAGACAUGCAGACAUGGAAUUAAUUUCUCAAAAUUAC
rnacentral:lncRNA from 1 species